CCGGCGACCGGCGCACGGGUGAGUAACACGUAUGCAACCUGCCCUCUUCAGGGGGACGAACCUUCCGAAAGGGAGGCUAAUCCCGCGUAUAUCGGUUUCGGGCAUCCGAGAUCGAGGAAAGAUUCAUCGGAAGGGGAUGGGCAUGCGGCGCAUUAGCUAGACGGCGGGGUAACGGCCCACCGUGGCGACGAUGCGUAGGGGUUCUGAGAGGAAGGUCCCCCACACUGGUACUGAGACACGGACCAGACUCCUACGGAAGGCAGCAG
rnacentral:rRNA from 1 species